rnacentral:rRNA from 1 species
UACGUAGGUGGCAAGCGUUAUCCGGAAUUAUUGGGCGUAAAGCGCGCGCAGGCGGUUUCUUAAGUCUGAGGUGAAAGCCCACGGCUCAACCGUGGAGGGUCAUUGGAAACUGGGGAACUUGAGUGCAGAAGAGAAAAGCGGAAUUCCACGUGUAGCGGUGAAAUGCGUAGAGAUGUGGAGGAACACCAGUGGCGAAGGCGGCUUUUUGGUCUGUAACUGACGCUGAGGCGCGAAAGCGUGGGGAGCAAACAGG